UACGUAGGGGGCAAGCGUUGUCCGGAUUUAUUGGGCGUAAAGAGCGUGUAGGCGGCCUGAAAGGUCAGCUGUGAAAACUCGAGGCUCAACCUCGAGACGUCGGUUGAAACCAUCUGGCUAGAGUCCGGAAGAGGAGUGUGGAAUUCCCGGUGUAGCGGUGAAAUGCGCAGAUAUCGGGAAGAACACCCGUGGCGAAGGCAGCACUCUGGGACGGUACUGACGCUGAGACGCGAAAGCGUGGGGAGCGAACAGG
rnacentral:rRNA from 1 species